UAGGGAAUCUUCGGCAAUGGACGAAAGUCUGACCGAGCAACGCCGCUUGAGUGAAGAAGGUUUUCGGAUCGUAAAACUCUGUUGUUAGAGAAGAACAAGGACGUUAGUAACUGAACGUCCCCUGACGGUAUCUAACCAGAAAGCCACGGCUAACUACGUGCCAGCAGCCGCGGUAAUACGUAGGUGGCAAGCGUUGUCCGGAUUUAUUGGGCGUAAAGCGAGCGCAGGCGGUUUCUUAAGUCUGAUGUGAAAGCCCCCGGCUCAACCGGGGAGGGUCAUUGGAAACUGGGAGACUUGAGUGCAGAAGAGGAGAGUGGAAUUCCAUGUGUAGCGGUGAAAUGCGUAGAUAUAUGGAGGAACACCAGUGGCGAAGGCGGCUCUCUGGUCUGUAACUGACGCUGAGGCUCGAAAGCGUGGGGAGCAAACAGG
rnacentral:rRNA from 1 species